GACGAACGCUGGCGGCGGGCUUAACACAUGCAAGUCGAACGGAAAGGCCCUGCUUUUGUGGGGUGCUGGAGGGGCGAACGGGUGAGGAACAGGUAUGUAACGGACCCUACAUUUUGGGGGAGCUUAAGGAAGGUGGGCUUACGCCAGUAUAGCAUCCCCUCUACGAGGGUGGGGGUGGGAAAUUUUGGGCGGGUGGGAUUGGAUGAGCGGCUGUUGGGCUUGUUGGUGGGGGAGGGGCUUACCAAGGCUUUGACGGGUAGCCGGCAUGAGAGCGUGAACGGCCACAUUGGGACUGCGAUACGGCCCAGACGGCUACGGGAGGCAGCAGUGGGGAGUCUUGCACAAUGGGCGGAAGUCUGAUGAAGCAACGCCGCGUGCGGGAUGACGGCCUGCUGGUUGUAAACCGCUUUCGGCUGUGACGAAGCGUGAGUGACGGUAAUGGGUGAAGAAGCACCGGCUAACUACGUG
rnacentral:rRNA from 1 species